ensembl:lncRNA
GUGGAUACAGCAAUUUUAUCUCCACGGGCAGAGUUGCAAUAAGCCUGUUUACAUACUGACACCAACAACAUAGCAUUAGGUAUCUCUAUAACCAUCUGUGCUCGCAUGCUAAGUUGCUACAGUCGUGUCCGGCUCUUUGCGACCCCAUGGACUGUAGCCUGCCAGGAUCCUCUGUCCAUAGGAUUCUCCAGGCAAGAAUACUGGAGUGGGUUGCCAUUUCCUCCUCCACAGGAUCUUCCCAACCCAAGGAUUGAACUUGUGUGUCCUGAGGCUCCUGCAUUGCAGCAGGGUCACUGGUGGAGACCAGAGUGAACAUGUGGUCAGAGAUUGAAUAUGAACCUCUGAAGCAGAAGAAGCCAGAGGAGAAGAGCAAGGUAGACCCGAUGUGUCAAGCAUUUGCUGUGUACUGGGAGCUUUGGCUUGUAAUUUCUCAUGUGAUUUUCAUGGUUUACUGUGGUAUGUUUCAUUAUUCUCCAUUUACAGCUGAGAAUAUGGAGCCUCAUAGAGGUUAAGUAACUUCCCCAAGAGUACACAGUAAGCGCUGUGACAAUGCAGUGGCAUCAUUCCCACUAGAGCAAAGCAUUCGAGUAAUGAGGAGAAGCAAGAACCAUGGAGGAGCAGAGAGGUUUCCCAAACCCGCUUCCUGAGCCCAUGACUCAUUUGUGCCUCUCUCUCCCUGUUAUAAGUUAUUCGCAUCACUGCUCUGAUACUCUUUUGGUCUAACAGCUUGUACUGGAUUUUUACUGUCAA